rnacentral:tRNA from 1 species
GCGCGGUUAGUUUAAUGGUAGAAUUCGAGUUUCCCAAAAUCCGUCUACUCGAGGACCGGUUUCGAUUACCGGGCUGCGCA